CUCACACACACACACACACACACACACACACACACACACACACACACACACACAUGGGCCGCUUUCCCAGUGGCUGCUCAUUGGUUCUGUGACAUCACAGAGGGGCGGGGCUUUGGAUGCCACUGGGACCACGCCCACACCAGAAGCCAAAGCUGUGAUGGCACACCUCUCUGACAAAGACGCGUGCCCUUCGCCAAGCCAAACCACCAAUCACAGAGAGAGAUGGAGAGAACAGCCCAUCAGAGAGCGAGGGGUGUGGAGAGAACAGCCAAUCAGAGGGGGAGAGAGGACAGAAACAGAUCUGGCAUAAGUGGGUGGCGAUUCAGUGAAAUGUGGUUCAGAUUGGUUUAGUUUCUGUUUUGGCGUGACGGGUAGAGGAUUGAGAUGAAAGAUUGGUUUAUUUCUGUUUUGGCGUGACGGCUAGAGGAUUGAGAUGAAAGAUGGAACCUGGUAAGUUGACGAACAGGUGGAGAAGGACAUGGAUUGAGAUGGAUCUGAAUGUGGAUGGGGUGAUGAAGAGAGAGAGAGGGAGGACUAGAGAGAGAGAGAG
ensembl:lncRNA